UACUGUUUUUCUGGAUGAGAGUUAGAUGAAAUGAAGCCACUAAUUGAGGAAUUUUUGAGUUUUGGUAAAAAGGUCUUGAUAUCUCUGGAACUGAUCACAUCUCUAAUUAAAUUUCUUCAGGGCAGCAGGAAAUGAAGCCUAGUUUCUGGAUUUUCUGACAUUCUCUGACUGAUGCUGCGUGACAAAUAAUGCAGGGAAGCAAAGAAGAGAAGCAGAUCAUCAAAGUUCGAGGACUACAGGAAUAAGAAGUCUGCCAGUAAUUGUGGCUCAGUUAUUUUCUUCUUUGAGCAAGGUGGGAUUGGAAAUUAAAUUGCAGAGCUUUCUGUUGCCAUCCACUCUGCAAUUGGAGUCUCAUCCAAGAAAGAAUAGAAGGGAGCCAAGCGUAGUGCCAGGAGUGGUUUCAAUGGAUAUCAACAGGAUGCUUGUAUUGUGGUUUCUCUUUAUUUAAUAUGCUAAAUUAAAUGUCUAUCUA